UUGGACGCUGGCGGCAGGCCUAACACCUGCAGGUCGAACGGUAACAGGAAGAAGCUUGCUUCUUUGCUGACGAGUGGCGGACGGGUGAGUAAUGUCUGGGAAACUGCCUGAUGGAGGGGGAUAACUACUGGAAACGGUAGCUAAUACCGCAUAACGUCGCAAGACCAAAGAGGGGGACCUUCGGGCCUCUUGCCAUCGGAUGUGCCCAGAUGGGAUUAGCUUGUUGGUGGGGUAACGGCUCACCAAGGCGACGAUCCCUAGCUGGUCUGAGAGGAUGACCAGCCACACUGGAACUGAGACACGGUCCAGACUCCUACGGGAGGCAGCAGUGGGGAAUAUUGCACAAUGGGCGCAAGCCUGAUGCAGCCAUGCCGCGUGUAUGAAGAAGGCCUUCGGGUUGUAAAGUACUUUCAGCGGGGAGGAAGGGAGUAAAGUUAAUACCUUUGCUCAUUGACGUUACCCGCAGAAGAAGCACCGGCUAACUCCGUG
rnacentral:rRNA from 1 species